ACCGUUCCAAAUGCUUGGACUUAUCCCACUAUUCAUUAAAUGAUAUCAUCUUUCCCUCAAGUCCAAGUAUAGUUGAAAGUUAAUAUUUUUUAUACUCCACCGGUGGUAGACACACCGUUAUGGAACCGACACAAACAUUCAUCCACCGACGUGUCUCCCCCCACCAUCGUUUCACCGCCGUCAGAACCGUUUCUACACCUAUAUAACCCUCACACAACCAGAAUAACCGCCGGUCAUGUAUCACCCAUCUGAAACCUUGGCAGACUCAUGGUGUGAGGGGAGUUGCAUUCAUAAAUCCAGUCACUCAAUUUCCAAUUAAUAAUACUAUUCCGCCGCAAAGUAAUCUGCCACAAAACCCCAACGUAGUCGGCACCGGCCGGAUUCUGCACAGAUUUUCAAUUUACUCCACCGUCACCGGUUCAACAAGAAGAGACGGCCGAUGGUUUUAUUAAUUGCAUAAUCUCCCAACAAAACUUCAUCGUCAAUUAUCAUACAUAUAAUGCUACAAAGCGUGGAGGAUUUCUGGAGUUGCAACUUUGCCGUAGAAAUUAAAAAGAUAAAGGAUUGAAGCAAAGAUAAAAGACCAGGAAGAAUAAGCGAACCCGGUUCAGGCAGAUCACAGAUGUAGCAUUCCUACUAAAAGGAAACGUUUCAUUUGGAGCAAAUGAUGGAACCGCGGUGGCUGUGCAGGUUCGGUUGUUGUGCUGUGGUGGCGGUGGUUCAAUGGUGGUGUUGUGGUGUCGGUGGUGAUUUCCUCCAAUGCUUUUGAAUGGUGGUAUUUGGAGAUGUGAGAUAUGAUUUUGAAUGGUGGUAUUUGGAUAAUACACGUUGUAUUUUGAUGAGUUGUUUGGUGCUUACAUCCACUGUUUUACCAUUAAUCUCUCACCUACUAUUUUAUCACUCCCAAUAUAAUAAUUUUCUCCC